GACGAACGCUGGCGGCGUGCCUAAUACAUGCAAGUAGAACGCUGAAGAGAGGAGCUUGCUCUUCUUGGAUGAGUUGCGAACGGGUGAGUAACGCGUAGGUAACCUGCCUUGUAGCGGGGGAUAACUAUUGGAAACGAUAGCUAAUACCGCAUAACAAUGGAUGACACAUGUCAUUUAUUUGAAAGGGGCAAUUGCUCCACUACAAGAUGGACCUGCGUUGUAUUAGCUAGUAGGUGAGGUAACGGCUCACCUAGGCGACGAUACAUAGCCGACCUGAGAGGGUGAUCGGCCACACUGGGACUGAGACACGGCCCAGACUCCUACGGGGAGGCAGCAGUAGGGAAUCUUCGGCAAUGGGGGCAACCCUGACCGAGCAACGCCGCGUGAGUGAAGAAGGUUUUCGGAUCCGUAAAGCUCUGUUGUAAGUCAAGAACGAGUGUGAGAGUGGAAAGGUCACACUGUGACGGUAGCUUACCAAAAGGGACGGCUAAUUCGUGCCCCAUCCCGGUAAUACGAUGUGCCGAGAGUUUUCUUGUAUAAUGGGACAGAGCGAGCGCGGAGAUUUAAGAAUCGAAGAUAAAGAGGUGGUGAACCCAUUUUUUUUUGUAAUGUUCGAGUCGCCCACUAGCGUG
rnacentral:rRNA from 1 species